GGGCAAGCAGUUCUCUCCGUCUCUCUUUAUGCUCGGGUGAUGGUGAUGGUGAUGGUGAUGGUGUUUCCAUAUAAGUUGGUAUAAUAAUAAUAAUUGUCGGUGCCUGCUCCAUCUCCUCUUUCAGAUUCUAAUUCCAUCGGUACAUUUCCCUUACUUAACUUUAUGGUUUUUAAUUAAUUGUUCUCAAUGCUGUUAUGUCUUUACCUGUUACGAUUUUUGUUUAAAUUUGUCAUGAUUAGAUUUCUGGAGCUUUUUUUUUUUUUUUUUUCUGACGGGGCAAUUGUAGAUCAACGGUGAAAUCUGUUCGUAGAAUUAUUUUUUUCUUUGCUAGAUCUCUGUGGAUUUUUCCAUUUAUAUUGCUGAUAUCACCGUAAUUACUUGCUUUGAAGUUGUUAAGUUUGUUUCUCCUCUGUUAAUUCCUCGUUGCCUUUUUUUUUUUGCUAUAUGUUGUUUCUUUUUUUGUGGAAAUUGAGUAAUUUCUCUCUUUUUUGGAUGAAUUAUUAUUUCUACUGUGUUUGUUGUUCUUGUUGUUUCUCUUAUUCACAAAAAGAAGGUGUUGAGUAGCCGCAAGCCAAAUAUUUCUAUUGCAAUAAAAGAAUAGAGGACAAUGUUAUCAUGGAUUGGCCCAUUUACUUUUAUUUUAUUUAAUUGAGCUAGCCCAAGCUUUACUUUUAGGGUAGUUGUUUACAUCUAUAUAUAGUUGUAUCUCUGCAUUUGGAAGAGAGGGAUGAAUAUUGAAAGCUUUGGUGCAAAACCGAAUUCCCCCCCUUCUCUUUGCUUCUCUGUUCUCCUUCUUUCAAUCUAAAUUCUAUGUUGUCUUCUCUUUUUAUCAUCAUUUUCCCCACCCUAAUUUUUAUUUUUCUUCUUUGAAUUGGUUAUCAAUUAGCUGGAUUCUGCUGGUGCAAGUUCCAGCUAAGUUUUGGUUGAAGUUGAGCUCCAACCAUAACAAAUGGUAUCAUAGCAGGCAAAUUUAACUGGGCAUUUACUAGUAAUGGAUACAAGGGCCAAAGUUGUUGAUGAAGAUUGGAAGAAACGGGAUUUGGAGAUAAGGGAUUUAGGCACAUCCUUUAGAGCUCUUACCAGCUGAUUGGAGAAUAAAUUGGAGUCCACAAAAUAAAAUCUCCAGGUACUUGUUCAUCGGCAAGAGAUAUUUGAGGGUGCUCUGUUGGAAUUGAAUCAAAAAUUUGAAAAUUUAGUGACCAUGAUGACCCAAUGUCUUCAAAUCUUAAAAUGGAUCAGAAAAAUAAAGGAAUAGAGGUGCCUAAUGUUAAUUUCAGUUCUGGGAGUGUGAUAACUACACAAUGGGCUAGUAGUAGCGAGAAUCAUGUUCGUCCUAUAGGGGAAUUCAAGGGAAAUAGUAGAUUCCCUAGAAUAGAUUUUUCCCAAUUUGGGGGAGAACGGCCCAGGGAAUGGUUGAGGGAAGCUAUGGAAUAUUUUCAACUCCAUCAAAUUCCUGAUCAACUUAGAUUGGGAGUUGCAAAGAUGUACUUGAAGGAGAAGGCAGACAUAUGGUUUUAUGGAUUCAUUUCCAGUCAUCCUGGGGUCAGAAACUAUUGAAGAAGAAUCCCAAAAUUAUGAUGGUUCAAGAAUUUUGUUGGAUGAUCAUGAAAAUGAGAUAGAAGAAUUGGUUCUAGUGGCUGAUAUAAGAGUGGGAACAGUGGCUGUGAGGGAGGCAUCAGAGGCAUUAAAUGCUAAAACCGAGAGAGACAGAGAUUGAGCUAGAGAUAGGUGAGAGAGAGAAGUUUGAAAAUGAGGAAGUAGAGCGGGUUGAGCCAAUGGAAUUUCAAAUGGUGGAAAGCAAUACAAAAGUAUCUAACUCUGAUGUUAUAGACUGCAAAGAGAAAGGGGGGAAUUAGGUUUUGCUCCAAAGCUUUCAAUAUUCAUCCCUUUCUUCCAAAUGUAGAGAUACAACUAUAUAUAGACCUAAACAACCCUAAAAGUAAGUGGCUUGGGCCAUUUACUUUUAUUUUAUUCAAUUGGGCUUGUGUUAUUAGUGGGCUAGCCCAAGCCCUUUAAUUUUAGGGUUUUUAGGUCUAUAUAUAGUUAGGGAUGAAUAUUGAAAGAUUUGGUGCAAAACCGAAUUCCCCCCUUUCUCUUUGCUUCGCUGUUCUUCUUCUUCUUUCAAUCUGAAUUUUAUGUUGUCUUCUCUAUUUAUCAUCAUUUUCCCCACCCCAAUUUCUAGUUUUCUUCUUUGAAUUGGUUAUCAAUCAGCUGGCUUCAGCUGAUGCAUGUUCCAGAGAGUAAUUUAGCUAAGUUUUGGUUGAAGUUGAGCUCCAACCAUAACAAAUGUAUGGCGAAUAUUGUCUUCAUCAUUGAACACCAUAUAAUCACUGGAAUAAUAGAAAAUUUUGGCAAUAGUAAAAUUACACACAACUAGGUGGGUUCUUUUUAUAUCUUAAAAAGCUCCACUCCACAUUCA
rnacentral:lncRNA from 1 species